GCCAGGCAUGGUGGUGCAUGCCUGUAGUCCCAGCUACUAGGGAGGCUGAGGCACAAGAAUCGCUUGAGCCCGGGAGAUGGAGGUUGCAGUGAACCAAGAUUACGCCACUGCACUUCAGCCUGGGUGACAGAGUGAGACUGGGUCUCUC
ensembl:misc_RNA Metazoa_SRP Metazoan signal recognition particle RNA